GGCAGGGCCAAGUUUGGCCUAUCUGAGGAACACAAACAAGGCCCGAUUGUCCAGAGCACAGGGAGUGAACAGAGAGAGUGGGUCUGAGACGAGUUCUGAACGAUGGAGAAAUUGAACUACCGGUGGACUAGGUUUCCAUGCAUAGCUUAUCAGUGGUGGAGGCAGAAAUUAAGUCCAGUUCAGCGUCUCCUGCGCUGGGGAGCAGAACCACAGAGCCACUACAGCACAGCCAGUGAUUUCUUCCAUCUCCAGCUCGGCCUGCUGCCUGCAAGCUCACGACCUUUGGUGUCAUUCAGACCAGAGGAAAGAGGAAUGAACUGUGAUUCCAGAGCCCAGCAUUGAGUAUUGGCUCUGACACUGGAAACCAAAAGGAAGGAAAAUAAUUACUGAGCACUUUUAUGUGGCAAGAACUAUGCCGGGUACGUUGCUGGUUAUCUAUCUGAAUUUCCACACCAAUCCUGUGAAAUGAUUCUUAUUAGCCCUAUUUUACAGAUGAAGAAACAAGCUGAGGCUGGAGAAAUGACUUCUUUGAGUUUGGGAAUCAAUCUCCCUGAUUCUGUUAUCCUCGAUUGCCUAUCCUUAUUGUGUGUCCUAGUGCCAGUCUUUUAACCUCUCUGGGCUGGGGUUUUUUCAUUUAUUAAAUGGGACAUGAAAAAGCUGA
rnacentral:lncRNA from 1 species